GGCUAGUCCAAAGGUAGCGAGUUAUCUCACUUGACUGUUCACAAUCAGUUACAGAUUGAACUCCUAGAUCUACUACUUUCCCCCCUUCACACUACUGCAUUUGACUUGUUUUUA
rnacentral:Y_RNA from 1 species